rnacentral:rRNA from 1 species
UACGUAGGGGGCAAGCGUUGUCCGGAUUUAUUGGGCGUAAAGAGCGUGUAGGCGGCCAUGUAGGUCCGGUGUGAAAACUCGAGGCUUAACCUCGAGAUGUCAUCGGAAACCAUUUGGCUAGAGUCCGGAAGAGGAGAGUGGAAUUCCUGGUGUAGCGGUGAAAUGCGCAGAUAUCAGGAAGAACACCAAUGGCGAAAGCAGCUCUCUGGGCCGAUACUGACGCUGAGGAGCGAAAGCGUGGGGAGCGAACAGG